GAGCUGUGAUCUGAGUGAUAAGAGCUGUUCCUAUCUGGCCUCUGCACUGAAGACAUCACACUCAUCAAAUCUCAGAGUGCUGCACCUGGGUAUCAAUAAGCUGCUGGACUCAGGAGUGGAACUUUUAUGUUCUGCUCUUUGUCAUCACAACUGCAAACUGGAGAAACUAUGGCUGGAUAGCUGUAAUCUGAGUGAUAAGAGCUGUUCCUAUCUGGCCUCUGCACUGAAGACAUCACACUCAUCAAAUCUCAGAGUGCUGAACCUGAGUACCAAUCAGCUGCUGGACUCAGGAGUGGAACUUUUAUGUUCUGCUCUUUGUCAUCACAACUGCAAACUGGAGACACUACGGCUGGCUGGCUGUAAUCUGAGCGAUAAGAGCUGUUCCUAUCUGGCCUCUGCACUGAAGACAUCACACUCAUCAAAUCUCAGAGUCCUAGACCUGGGUUGGAAUGAGCUGCUGGAC